rnacentral:rRNA from 1 species
CCUACGGGAGGCAGCAGUGGGGAAUAUUGGACAAUGGGGGCAACCCUGAUCCAGCCAUGCCGCGUGUGUGAAGAAGGCCCUCGGGUUGUAAAGCACUUUCAGUGAGGAAGAACGCCUGGUGGUUAAUACCCAUCAGGAAAGACAUCACUCACAGAAGAAGCACCGGCUAACUCCGUGCCAGCAGCCGCGGUAAUACGGAGGGUGCGAGCGUUAAUCGGAAUUACUGGGCGUAAAGCGCGCGUAGGUGGCUUGAUAAGCCGGUUGUGAAAGCCCCGGGCUCAACCUGGGAACGGCAUCCGGAACUGUCAAGCUAGAGUGCAGGAGAGGAAGGUAGAAUUCCCGGUGUAGCGGUGAAAUGCGUAGAGAUCGGGAGGAAUACCAGUGGCGAAGGCGGCCUUCGGGCCUGACACUGACACUGAGGUGCGAAAGCGUGGGUAGCAAACAGGAUUAGAUACCCCAGUAGUC